AACGAACGCUGGCGGCGUGCCUAACACAUGCAAGUCGAACGAGAAAGGGGCUUCGGCUCCGAGUAAAGUGGCGCACGGGUGAGUAACACGUGGGUAACCUGCCUCUAAGAUUGGGAUAACUCGUCGAAAGAUGAGCUAAUACCGAAUAAGACCACAGUUCCCGCGGGAACAGGGGUCAAAGGUAGCCUCUGCUUGCAAGCUAUCACUUAGAGAUGGGCCUGCGCACCAUUAGCUAGUUGGUAGGGUAACGGCCUACCAAGGCAAAGAUGGUUAGCUGGUCUGGGAGGAGGAUCAGCCACACUGGAACUGAGACACGGUCCAGACUCCUACGGGAGGCAGCAGUGGGGAAUAUUGCGCAAUGGGCGAAAGCUUGACGCAGCAACGCCGCGUGAGUGAUGAAGGCCUUCGGGUCGUAAAGCUCUGUCGGGAGGAACGAAUGCUCCUGAGGUUAACAGCCUCGGGAGGUGACGGUACCUUCAAAGGAAGCACCGGCUAACUCUGUG
rnacentral:rRNA from 1 species